CCGUCGACUUUAUAAAUCAUGAGGGUUCAAGUCCCUCUAUCCCCA
rnacentral:tRNA from 1 species